rnacentral:rRNA from 1 species
UGAGUACGAGCUGCCACGGCAGCGAAGUGGGUGACGUCAAGCUUCCAAGAAAAGCCCUAUACCCGUUAAGGCAUGAUGGCCUGUACCCGAAACCGACACAGGUGGGGUGGUAGAGAAUACCGAGGGGCGCGAGAUAACUCUCUCUAGGGAACUCGGCAAAAUGGCCCCGUAACUUCGGGAGAAGGGGUGCCACCGCAAGGUGGUCGCAGUGAAGAGGCCCAGGCGACUGUUUACCAAAAACACAGGUCUCCGCUAAGUCGCAAGACGAUGUAUGGGGGCUGACGCCUGCCCAGUGCCGGAAGGUUAAGGAAGCUGGUCAGCGUAAGCGAAGCUAGCGACUGAAGCCCCGGUGAACGGCGGCCGUAACAAUAACGGUCCUAAGGUAGCGAAAUUCCUUGUCGGGUAAGUUCCGACCCGCACGAAAGGCGUAACGAUCUGGGCGCUGUCUCGGAGAGAGGCUCGGCGAAAUAGAAUUGUCUGUGAAGAUGCGGACUACGUGCACCCGGACAGAAAGACCCUAUGAAGCUUUACUGUAGCUUGGUAUUGUGCUCGGGCUCGGAAUGCGCAGGAUAGGUGGGAGGCUAUGAACCAUUGCUUGUGGGUGAUGGUGAGCCACUGGUGAGAUACCACUCUUUCCGAGCUAGAUUUCUAACAGCCACCCGUUAUCCGGGGGCUGGACAGUAUCAGGUGGGCAGUUUGACUGGGGCGGUCGCCUCCUAAAAGGUAACGGAGGCGCGCAAAGGUUUGCUCAGGCUGGUUGGAAAUCAGCCGACGAGUGUAAAAGCAGAAGCAUGCUUGACUGUGAGACCUACAAGUCGAACAGGGAGGAAACUCGGCUUUAGUGAUCCGACGGUUCUGCGUGGAAGGGCCGUCGCUCAACGGAUAAAAGUUACUCUAGGAUAACAGGCUGAUCUCCCCCAAGAGUUCACAUCGACGGGGAGGUUUGGCACCUCGAUGUCGGCUCAUCGCAACCUGGGGCUGAAGUCGGUCCCAAGGGUUGGGCUGUUCGCCCAUUAAAGCGGUACGCGAGCUGGGUUCAGAACGUCGUGAGACAGUUCGGUCCAUAUCCGGUGCAUGCGCAGGAAUAUUGAGAGGAUUUCUCCCUAGUACGAGAGGACCGGGAGGAACGCACCUCUGGUGUACCAGUUAUCGUGCCAACGGUAAACGCUGGGUAGCCAUGUGCGGAGAGGAUAACCGCUGAAAGCAUCUAAGUGGGAAGCCCACCUCAAGAUGAGUAUUCCCAUGGGUUAACCCAGUAAGGUCACGGGAAGAACACCCGUUGAUAGGCUCUACGUGGAAGCGCAGUAAUGUGUGAAGCGGAGGAGUACUAAUAGACCGAGGGCUUGACC